rnacentral:rRNA from 1 species
UCUUUAGGAAGCUUGCUUCCAAAGAGACUUAGUGGCGAACGGGUGAGUAACACGUAGGUAACCUGCCCAUGUGCCCGGGAUAACUGCUGGAAACGGUAGCUAAAACCGGAUAGGUAUGAGGGAGGCAUCUUCCUCAUAUUAAAGCACCUUCGGGUGUGAACAUGGAUGGACCUGCGGCGCAUUAGCUGGUUGGUGAGGUAACGGCCCACCAAGGCGAUGAUGCGUAGCCGACCUGAGAGGGUGAACGGCCACAUUGGGACUGAGACACGGCCCAAACUCC